GGGCCCUCCCCCAGGGGAGCCCAGAGGCCUUAUACAGUUUCCUCUUGGGCCAGGGAUGUGGGCAGGGGUGAGCAGUGUUGGUGGUCUCUUCCGCUCUGCAGCCUCAGGACUGCCCACCUGACCAGGCGGUUUGGUCUCUCUCUCACAGGGUCUGGGAGCAGAGAGCUGCUGCGGGCCGGGAUCCGCGGGUGUCAUAUAUUUUCUUACAAAAGCAGUUGACAGUAUACUGCUAACUUUUUAUUAAUUUUUAUCUUAUAUUUUAGUGACAGUGGUGACUGAGCCUCUGUUGCACGCAUGAUAGGCAGGUGCUCUACUGUUGAACUGUAUUUCCAGGUCUAUGUUAACUCUUAAAAUUUGUAAUCUUGCUUCAGACUGAACUCCAUCACAAAGAGAUCAUGGGCCGUGAGUAUGCUUCAUUUACGGACACCACCUCUACUGUAUUCAAAUCAUGUGAUCAUAGACACCUUGGUUUUUGUUUGUCUUAAACCCUCAGAUGGAAAAUGAACCAAUAACAUCCUUAUUCGUCUGUAUUUAUGGCCUCUAAUAAAUAUCUUGAUAUGUCUUGGUACAUAAUGGAUACUCAGUAAAUAGUAUCUGCUACCAACUAUUAUAACCAAAACAGUAAUAAGACAAAAGAGCCUCUUAGACAAUAAUCAUAAGCUCAUUAAUAUAUAUAAAUAUGUAACAUGCAUUAAUAUAUGAGUAUGUAAAUUAUUACAAUUGAAGUUGUUUUGCUUAAUAUUUGACACACAGGAAAUCUAGAUGUAAAUUUGAUAUAUUUAAAUGCUUUCAUGGAAAAGGUGCUAUAAUUAUUUUAGUUAAAUGAAAAUACAAUUCAAAAUUCCCAAGCUAUCCCAAUCUUAUAAAAGUGAUAAUAAAAACAACAACCUCCCAAUGAUUGGAUUUUUUUUUUUUUACUGAAAUGACCACAUAAUUUGGGCAUAAUGCAAAUAAAUAAGAUGUGCAAUGUUUUACUUGAAGUAAUAGGAAAGAGAAAUAUGCAGGGAAAUCUCUGAUGACCCCGAUCUGAAUAAUAUUAAUUGGAAGCAUUUUAAAGAUCAAGAGGCUAUUAUUGCUAGCUGCAAUAGAUACAUAUGGAAAAUGGCUACAGAGAUUCACAACAUAAAAAUAGUUCAUUGCUAAAUUCGAAAUUCUGUUAAUGUCACAAACAGUGGGCUGUGAAAAACAAAUGAAUUGUGAUGACAGUUGAGUACCAAGCUGACUAUUUUUUUCUCCCUCAGAGCUGUCCGUAUUUGGCUGUAUAUUUUCCUCAUCCUGAUUUAACCCAUCAAUAUUUGUGCCUUUCUAAGUAGCACCACCUUGGAACAUACACAUUAAGGAUUUCAUUUGUAACCCUCCUUGUUUCCUACGAGUCCCGGUUUUGCUUUGUUACCAUGGGUGCCUACUGGCCUGCGUCUUGCUCCUUCCUCUCUUUAUAACUGAGGUUUUGAGCAUCUUCUCGCAGGCCUUUGUAUUGUACUCUGUUCUUCCUUUUCUCCAGCCGCCUAAGGUCUUUCCACCCUUUCCGAUCUGCAGGGUGUUCGUUUAGAGCAUAUUUCUUCUCCAUGUAGCUUUAACCUCGAGCACUUACUGUUAACCUAAGAAUCUGCAUUCACUUUAUUAUAGUUUUUCACCCGCCCUAGCUUUUCUAAAAUAUCACGCUUUUCCUUUAUGGCAGGGUCUCUAUGAUCCUGGCUUUUGUGAGCAAGACUUAUUUUCUGAACCAAAUAAAACUCCCUUCAAAUGCAGCAGCUCCACACUGGCAUGUGCUUGUCUGACCUUUGGGAAAUGUCAUUAAAAGACUCUGAAGAGUAUUUUAAAAUGCCCAAAUUAUUGAGGCUUAAUGGCUUUUGUAGCAUAGAUACCAGCCCUACCUAAUAGAGGAACAGGCCUAGAAAUAUAUUUUUAUGUGGAUUUUACUGUGUGUGGUGAUUUGGCUACCAUUUAUUGAGUGACCUCUCUUUUUUAACCAUUUUAGUCUUAAAACAAUCAUCUGUGAUACUUAAACUGUUCUCUUCACUUAAUAAAUGAGAAAACUUUAACCUGAACUUCUUAAAUGAUGGAAUUCAAGAUUCUAAUAUGCUAAGGUUUUGCUAUGAAUUGAGCACAUAGUUGAUUUUAAGACAGCAAAGUAAAAAUUAUCAACUUUUAUGUCCUACUUUUAUUCUUUCAAAUUGAAAGGAAAAUGGAUGUUUUUAAAACUGAACAUUCAAUAAAAACUGAAUAUUGAAAAGAGUGUUCAAAAGAUAAGAAAACUACUGAACCCAAUUCCCAGCUCCAAGUAUUGUUUUUAAAAUACAUUAAUAUUGAUAUAUUUUAUAGACUUCAGGAUGACUGAGCACGUUUACCUUUUCUCUUAAUCCCAGUGCCUCCCACUUGCUUUCCUCUGUACUGAGUACUUAUAGAGUAUUAGUAUGUUGUGAAUCAACUUUUGCCAUUUAAGAGUCUUAAUCAUUGGCCUCCUAACAAGCUAUUUAUAGCUCAUAUUUUUAUAGAUGUAAACAUUAUAAAAGUAUUGAGACAUGUUCAUUAAUUUUGUUAAUAAAAAUAUAGUGGAAAAUGCUAUAUAUUCAUGCUGUACCUUGUUUCUGCUCUGUCCCCCCCAAAAAAUUUUGACAUGAAAAAAUACCCUGGCAAAAACAGCACAACGUUUUAAGUUUUUGCAUCUCUAUGCACUUGUAAAAACUAUAGACGCAUUCCAUGUUUUGAACAAAGAAUCAGUAGAGAUAUAAUUGAAAUAAUACACUUUUAAACAACAUUUGAGUCUUGUGUUUCUCUGGUAGUGUGAGUCUGUAAGGAAAAUGAAACCAAUCACAUCAAACUCUCCUUCUAACAAUAAAAUGAGCCGUGUAACAACUUUUGAAACAUGGGUUGAACACUGACUAACCACUGAUUCUUCAAACACUGUUGUGGCCAUUUUAAACUGCAGAAUGUACAGCAAAUGAGAAAAGACAGUAAGAUCUCUAUCGUGGAUGAAACUAAAAACAUCACUGAAAUAUAAUAUUGAAACUAAUCCCCUCUCCAUAUUUUAUAUCCCAUUCCACUAAGGUAUUACAAAAUAAAAACAAAAAAAGAAAACAAAACAAACAAAAAAAAUCAACAACACCCCCCCCCAAAAAUAAAUACUGCCAUCUUCUACUCGGAUGAAGCGUCCAGACAAGGAAGUCUGUAAAUAAUUAAAAUAAUGAACUAGAGUAUAAAAGACAGACUGACAGACUGACAGAGGCAGAUCGAGGAAUGGAAUAAUGGAAUCAAGUAGAAAAAUAUGCAUUGAAAAAUGUUGAAUAUUCCAAAAUAUAAAACUAACGGAAGGGAAGAACUUAUAUCAUUCUUCAGCAGCAAUGCAGAGUUGCUGUCCGACGACAGAGAGCCUCUUUAGUGGCGUUCUUGGGAAGGACGUGGUCAUCACAGAGGCUUCACUCGCUGUUCAGUUGCCCCAGGCAAUCUGAUCAGUAUGUCCUUGUUUCUAGAACUAAGUAAACCAAAUCAGGAUGAACGACACAUGGUUUAAUAGUUAACUCUCAGAACAAGGGGCAGGGAGAUGCUUUUAUGCCAUCAUCCAGUCUUCAUUCCAAUCUCAUUACUGAAGUCUGCUCUGAGAGCAUUUACAGCUUCCCACAGAGUCUAAGCUUGCCAGAGUCCUGAUGGAAAUAGCGCUUAAUGACCAUCUCGUUCUGGAGUCUCCUUAAUUCAGACUGUUUCAUCAUCAGCAAUUGAGUAUUUCAUACAGCCUUGCUGACUGUUCCUUGACCACCAGUCUGUUGCCUGUUUCUGCUCUUCAUGUAAGGCUGUCGGUUUGUGGGAUUCUACUCUGAGGCACCUUCAGUGAGUCUCCUCAGUUUUCCAGAAGGGAAAAGGGCAGGAGCUGAGCUCAGACCUGGAUACCCUUCUAACUAUCAUAGAGAAAAAGUGAAUUGCACACUAAGGCUUGCACACUGUACUUAGGGUAAGUACUAUUCAACUUUUCUUUCCUGUAUGAGUUGCCUGCCUUAACUUUCUAGCUUAUUAUUAGCAGAGUAAAUGGAGAUAAAUUUUAACUCAAGGAGGAAUUUGAAUGAAACAGAAGAUUUUCAGAUUUAAGGGCAUCUAUUGUGCAUAAAUUUAGGGAUCCGAGAAUUUGCCAUUAAAAUGCUAGCAGCUCAGUGCUUACAGAGCAAAGAUGUGCUAGUCUGAACAUGUCUGAUCUCAUCUGGAAUCGAAAGCUAAAUCUAGGUGGGCCUGUUAUAAUACCAGAAGAGGAACACAUGUGUCUUUUGUACAGGCUUUUUUUUUUUUUUUUAACCCAGCGUUCCAAAGGCAAGCGACAAAAGAGUUGGACUGGCCUCUUGCUCAGUUGGUCCUGUGCUCUCUCCUGCAGAUACACACCCAGGUGCUCUUGCUUGUUCUGUGUAGUCAUUGCUGCUGAAGUGCAGUCUCUGCAGUCAGUGAUGGACACACUUCCCAUCUCCAGAAAGCUCUAUCUCCAUUCUCGGUGUGAUGUUGUCUCACGUAGUCGCCUUCUCAGGUCUGCACUGUGGCUCUCAGGCUGCACAGUUCUGACUGAUUCUUACUCGAGCGUAGUUCUUCACUAGCUGUCUGUUAGAGUCAUGGUGGAGGGUUUUUUUCUCAUUCUGGGAGGCCUUUUUAACUAUUCAAACAAGUUACCCUUGAAGAUGAAAUUUCUCAUACUUGUGACUCGGAACUGAACUUGUCUUGAAAAGAUUUGUAAAACAAAUCUAAUUAGUCAUUUGGAUUUUGUUGUUGUUGUUGUUGUUGUAUUGUUUUGUAUUUAUAUUUUAUGAAUUUUAAACAUUAUAAUUAAUGUAAAUGCUCGUUUUUUAACAACAUAUAUUUUGCUGUGCAAUGCUUUUCUAAUUCUGUCUUCUUUGUGUGCUCUAUGAUCAAAUUGGAAAAUUCAGUGUGUUAAAAAAUAAAAUUUUAAGAAGUCUAUAGAUAGCCUAUUGACAUUUUGCAAUACCCACUUUGAAGUAAUUCAGAGUUUUAACUUUCUUUCAACACACUACCUUUCAUUGCCAAUCAGUAUUACUUUAUGCAAGGGUGUGUAUAUGUGUGUGUGUGUGCGUGUGCGUGCGUGUGUGUACGUGUGUGUGUGUGUGUGUGUGCACGCGCGCGCGUGCAUGUAUAGGCAGAUAUAAACAUAUGAAUGCGUACUUGCAUAUACAAAAAAGAUAUACAAAGAUACUUCAUGUUUAUGUUAAUUCUAUUUUUGCAUAAAAGAAAAAGAAUCAGUGAACUUUUAUUAUUUUAUCAUUUUUCUGUAAUUUUAAAAUCCAAUAAACUGUUAGUUCUGGUUAUCAUAUGUUUAUAAACAUGUAUCUAUAUUCUUGUAAGUUACCUUAAUUUACAUUUCAUAGGUCUUAUACAGUCCUGCAUUUUAUGCAGAUAUAUUAAUGCUGAAGUUUUUCACACACCACUUGCUGUGUUCCAUAUCUGUUAGUGUGUUAACAAGUGGUUUGAUUUUUUUUUUAGUUUUUUUUAUUAAUUCUUUUCUAAUCUAGAGAGACUAUAUGUUUCAAUAUGUCACUAGUAUUCUGAGAAAGAAGCUUCUAGAGCUGUGAUCUCCUAGGAAGCUUUCAAGUAAACAGGAGACAUACUCUUUAGCUUGCUUCUCCUAGAUCCAUUGGUCCAUGCUGUGCCAUCAGCAAACCUGAGAAAACCGACACUAGUAAGUAUGACACAUGAUUUUUUUUCUGAUCAUAGACCCAGAAACUACCAAAGAAAAUUGUGGCAUAUGUAGGAAAAUGCCAAGACCUUCUCCAAUAAAAUCAGCUGG
ensembl:lncRNA